AUUGAACGCUGGCGGCAUUCCUUACACAUGCAAGUCGAACGGCAGCACGGGAGCAAUCCUGGUGGCGAGUGGCGAACGGGUGAGUAAAGCAUCGGAACGUGCCCAGUCGUGGGGGAUAACGUAGCGAAAGCUACGCUAAUACCGCAUACGAUCUGUGGAUGAAAGCGGGGGACCGUAAGGCCUCGCGCGAUUGGAACGGCCGAGGUCAGAUUAGGUAGUUGGGGAGGUAAAGUCUCACCAAGCCGACGAUCUGUAGCUGGUCUGAGAGGACGACCAGCCACACUGGGACUGGGACACGGCCCAGACUCGUACGGGAGGCAGCAGUGGGGAAUUUUGGACAAUGGGCGCAAGCCUGAUCCAGCAAGGCCGCGUGCUGGAUGAAGGCCUUCGGGUUGUAAACUGCUUUUGUACGGAGCGAAACGGCUUCCACUAAUACUGGGGGCUAAUGACGGUACCGUAAGAAUAAGCACCGGCUAACUACGUGCCAGCCGCCGCCGUAAUAC
rnacentral:rRNA from 1 species